rnacentral:misc_RNA from 1 species
AACCAUAGAAACCUGCGGAGUACCUGCGGAAGGAUCAUUACAGAGUUGCAAAACUCCCUAAACCAUUGUGAACGUUACCUAAACCGUUGCUUCGGCGGGCGGCCCGGGUCCUUCCCGGCGCCCCUCGGCCCUCGCGGGCGCCCGCCGGAGGUAAACCAAACUAUUGCAUUUGUAUGGCCUCUCUGAGUCUUCUGUACUGAAUAAGUCAAAACUUUCAACAAUGGAUCUCAGAUCGGAAGA